GGGUUGUGAGGUUAAGCGACUAAGCGUACACGGUGGAUGCCCUGGCAGUCAGAGGCGAUGAAGGACGUGCUAAUCUGCGAUAAGCGUCGGUAAGGUGAUAUGAACCGUUAUAACCGGCGAUUUCCGAAUGGGGAAACCCAGUGUGUUUCGACACACUAUCAUUAACUGAAUCCAUAGGUUAAUGAGGCGAACCGGGGGAACUGAAACAUCUAAGUACCCCGAGGAAAAGAAAUCAACCGAGAUUCCCCCAGUAGCGGCGAGCGAACGGGGAGCAGCCCAGAGCCUGAAUCAGUGUGUGUGUUAGUGGAAGCGUCUGGAAAGGCGCGCGAUACAGGGUGACAGCCCCGUACACAAAAAUGCACAUGCUGUGAGCUCGAUGAGUAGGGCGGGACACGUGGUAUCCUGUCUGAAUAUGGGGGGACCAUCCUCCAAGGCUAAAUACUCCUGACUGACCGAUAGUGAACCAGUACCGUGAGGGAAAGGCGAAAAGAACCCCGGCGAGGGGAGUGAAAAAGAACCUGAAACCGUGUACGUACAAGCAGUGGGAGCACGCUUAGGCGUGUGACUGCGUACCUUUUGUAUAAUGGGUCAGCGACUUAUAUUCUGUAGCAAGGUUAACCGAAUAGGGGAGCCGAAGGGAAACCGAGUCUUAACUGGGCGUUAAGUUGCAGGGUAUAGACCCGAAACCCGGUGAUCUAGCCAUGGGCAGGUUGAAGGUUGGGUAACACUAACUGGAGGACCGAACCGACUAAUGUUGAAAAAUUAGCGGAUGACUUGUGGCUGGGGGUGAAAGGCCAAUCAAACCGGGAGAUAGCUGGUUCUCCCCGAAAGCUAUUUAGGUAGCGCCUCGUGAAUUCAUCUCCGGGGGUAGAGCACUGUUUCGGCAAGGGGGUCAUCCCGACUUACCAACCCGAUGCAAACUGCGAAUACCGGAGAAUGUUAUCACGGGAGACACACGGCGGGUGCUAACGUCCGUCGUGAAGAGGGAAACAACCCAGACCGCCAGCUAAGGUCCCAAAGUCAUGGUUAAGUGGGAAACGAUGUGGGAAGGCCCAGACAGCCAGGAUGUUGGCUUAGAAGCAGCCAUCAUUUAAAGAAAGCGUAAUAGCUCACUGGUCGAGUCGGCCUGCGCGGAAGAUGUAACGGGGCUAAACCAUGCACCGAAGCUGCGGCAGCGACGCUUAUGCGUUGUUGGGUAGGGGAGCGUUCUGUAAGCCUGCGAAGGUGUGCUGUGAGGCAUGCUGGAGGUAUCAGAAGUGCGAAUGCUGACAUAAGUAACGAUAAAGCGGGUGAAAAGCCCGCUCGCCGGAAGACCAAGGGUUCCUGUCCAACGUUAAUCGGGGCAGGGUGAGUCGACCCCUAAGGCGAGGCCGAAAGGCGUAGUCGAUGGGAAACAGGUUAAUAUUCCUGUACUUGGUGUUACUGCGAAGGGGGGACGGAGAAGGCUAUGUUGGCCGGGCGACGGUUGUCCCGGUUUAAGCGUGUAGGCUGGUUUUCCAGGCAAAUCCGGAAAACUAAGGCUGAGGCGUGAUGACGAGGCACUACGGUGCUGAAGCAACAAAUGCCCUGCUUCCAGGAAAAGCCUCUAAGCAUCAGGUAACAUCAAAUCGUACCCCAAACCGACACAGGUGGUCAGGUAGAGAAUACCAAGGCGCUUGAGAGAACUCGGGUGAAGGAACUAGGCAAAAUGGUGCCGUAACUUCGGGAGAAGGCACGCUGAUAUGUAGGUGAAGUCCCUCGCGGAUGGAGCUGAAAUCAGUCGAAGAUACCAGCUGGCUGCAACUGUUUAUUAAAAACACAGCACUGUGCAAACACGAAAGUGGACGUAUACGGUGUGACGCCUGCCCGGUGCCGGAAGGUUAAUUGAUGGGGUCAGCGCAAGCGAAGCUCUUGAUCGAAGCCCCGGUAAACGGCGGCCGUAACUAUAACGGUCCUAAGGUAGCGAAAUUCCUUGUCGGGUAAGUUCCGACCUGCACGAAUGGCGUAAUGAUGGCCAGGCUGUCUCCACCCGAGACUCAGUGAAAUUGAACUCGCUGUGAAGAUGCAGUGUACCCGCGGCAAGACGGAAAGACCCCGUGAACCUUUACUAUAGCUUGACACUGAACAUUGAGCCUUGAUGUGUAGGAUAGGUGGGAGGCUUUGAAGUGUGGACGCCAGUCUGCAUGGAGCCGACCUUGAAAUACCACCCUUUAAUGUUUGAUGUUCUAACGUUGACCCGUGAUCCGGGUUGCGGACAGUGUCUGGUGGGUAGUUUGACUGGGGCGGUCUCCUCCUAAAGAGUAACGGAGGAGCACGAAGGUUGGCUAAUCCUGGUCGGACAUCAGGAGGUUAGUGCAAUGGCAUAAGCCAGCUUGACUGCGAGCGUGACGGCGCGAGCAGGUGCGAAAGCAGGUCAUAGUGAUCCGGUGGUUCUGAAUGGAAGGGCCAUCGCUCAACGGAUAAAAGGUACUCCGGGGAUAACAGGCUGAUACCGCCCAAGAGUUCAUAUCGACGGCGGUGUUUGGCACCUCGAUGUCGGCUCAUCACAUCCUGGGGCUGAAGUAGGUCCCAAGGGUAUGGCUGUUCGCCAUUUAAAGUGGUACGCGAGCUGGGUUUAGAACGUCGUGAGACAGUUCGGUCCCUAUCUGCCGUGGGCGCUGGAGAACUGAGGGGGGCUGCUCCUAGUACGAGAGGACCGGAGUGGACGCAUCACUGGUGUUCGGGUUGUCAUGCCAAUGGCACUGCCCGGUAGCUAAAUGCGGAAGAGAUAAGUGCUGAAAGCAUCUAAGCACGAAACUUGCCCCGAGAUGAGUUCUCCCUGACUCCUUGAGAGUCCUGAAGGAACGUUGAAGACGACGACGUUGAUAGGCCGGGUGUGUAAGCGCAGCGAUGCGUUGAGCUAACCGGUACUAAUGAACCGUGAGGCUUAACCUUACAACGCCGAAGGUGUUU
rnacentral:rRNA from 1 species